rnacentral:lncRNA from 1 species
GCCAGAGAGAGAGCGGGUGGCUGAGCUGUGGCCACCAGGCAUCCUGAGCACGCCCCUGCCAUGUUGAGGGUACUGAGCACAAGCUCCUCCCUCAUAGCUUGCCAUGGGGAUGCUCAGAGCCCACCAGGGAUUUGUGGCCAAGCGAUGCAGGAGCAGGAAGUGCUGCCGGCAGGGCAUGAGCCUGUCUGGGUGAAAGUUCGAAGAUGGCUGCUGGGCCACAGGGGACCCUGGGAGACCUCCACAGGCUGCAGCGUGUGCGCUUCUUGUAUGUGCACAAGAGCAGAGCCCUAUGGUCCAGCUGAAUGCAUGUAUGUGCAUAUGCUUUCUUUGUCCAAAUCACAGAUAAUUUUGACUGGAAGAUAGGUGAAGAGAUGGGCCAGAGGUUUUGGAAUCCUUGGUCUGCACCAGUUUGGAGCUACCACAGAAGAGAGGAAGGGCCUGCAUGAGUGUCAUGAAGCAGAUUCUCAGAGACAGAGACGUGGGCAGCAUCUUCGUGUGGACAAAAGCCUGCUCCAGACUUCCCUAGCUGCUCCUCCUGCAGGCGCCUGUUUUUCCUGCUGGUGACUGCGCCCACGUUUCCCAGGGAGCCUCCCUGCUCCAGCGGCAGCCUCUGCACCAGUUUGAACCUGUGCUUUCCUGGAGUCACACCUCCUUGACCAGCUGGGGGCGUCUCGUCAAGAUGGGGGCAAUCGCUCGUGGAGGGCGCUUGGCUACCCCCCAUGCAGUCACCUCAGCAGCAGGUGCACGUAAUUACUACCACACACGUUCACCACCCUGCACCGCCAUUUCCCCUUUAGCAAGACGGGGGUGAGUGUGUGCAUAUGUGAAAAAACAUAAACAGAUUGUACAACAAAGUGUUCUCUAGCUGUCAGCAAGAGCUUUGAAAAUAAAACACUUCCCUCCCA